rnacentral:rRNA from 1 species
UACGGAGGGUGCAAGCGUUAUCCGGAUUCACUGGGUUUAAAGGGUGCGUAGAUGGGAAUGUAAGUCAGUGGUGAAAUCUCCGUGCUUAACAUGGAAACUGCCAUUGAUACUAUGUUUCUUGAAUUUUCUGGAGGUAAGCGGAAUAUGUCAUGUAGCGGUGAAAUGCUUAGAUAUGACAUAGAACACCAAUUGCGAAGGCAGCUUGCUACAGGGAUAUUGACACUGAGGCACGAAAGCGUGGGGAUCAAACAGG